rnacentral:tRNA from 1 species
GGUAACGCAGUUUAGUGGUAGAAUACUUGCCUAACAUGUAUGAGGCCCUGGGUUCAAUCCCCUGUAACACCA